ACAGAUUAAUGAAAAACAUCCAAAACUCACCAUAGGGUUUUGAUGGGAAGACUUUGCUGGCGAUUGAAAUGAUGUAAUGAGCGAAGAGUUUGUUAAUGGGAAUAAUCUAAUUACAUUAAAUAGGUCAUUUCUGGUAUGUUUUUUCUCCAUGUUGAAGGUAAUAAAAAAAGCUGGAAAAUUAAUGCGUUUUCUCACCUAAUGAGCUCCUUGAAAAAUGCCCCUCGCUAUUGAAUGUUUUUUUCCUUAGGCUUCGGUUGUUUCUGAGUUAAGAGGGUGUUAAUGUGCUCUGUACACAUCCUCCCACACACGACAUGAGGAAAGCAAGAAAAUGGAAUAAUAACAGGGAAACCUGGGCAGGUUUCAUGGAGGAAAUAUGACUCUGAUAUCCUUCACAGUCAAAAUACAUGCAAUUCAGGACAGCUGCAUUAGAUAGGAUGGAAACACCCUCUAUGCAAUAUUGAGGAGCAAAUAUUUAGUACACCGUAUUCGUUUUUCCCGACCGGUUUCUAAUGGAAAAUGUGGUUUCAACACUUCACAUUUUUCCAUGGGAAAAUGUUAGCUUUGCUGAGUUAAAAUGAAUCAUUGGGAAAACAAACAUUGUUUGGGGCUGGCUUGUCUGAAAGCAGGGUAGAGGAGCUUGGUGACCAGACCACAAUGUUUUGUUGUGAAAGAAUCAAGAAUUAAGACAAAGCUCAUAUUUGGGAAGAGCAGCUGGGGCACCCAUUGGCUCAAUGAGUCUUCUUCGCGUUAGCACAGCGAUGUGCAACAUUUCAGCUUGGAAUUGAGAAAUCUGUGAUUUACAACUCAUCUGCCACCCUCCUAAGAGAAAUGAGCUGCUACCUGGGCAUGGCCUGAGCUGGGCUUUAACAAGCAUGGAUCAAGGCCUAGUGUGUGUUGCAAGCUGAAACUUUAAUGUGUGUCAGUUUGUUGAGUUUCCAAGACAAAUAAUUAAGGGUGGAUGAGAGAAAAUGGAGAGAUUAUGAUUAAGCAGUAAGUGGAGACCGGAUUCAAUAAAGAGCCCAUUUGGUUUCCAUUCUGCGGAAGCCUGCGCAAACCCAGACAAAUUGAUUUUUUCUGUGGCUUUUGUGGACUCCUGUGGCAGGAAGCUGAAUAGAUUUCUAUAUUUUUUUUAAAUCCAUCCUUGAGACACUCAAACAACUCAGUAGUACUGACUAAUGCGUUCCUCAUGUGCAGUUUGGCAUGCGUUGCUCCUGCUACAUCAGAAUAACCAUCGUGCUGGCGAGCACAGUAAAUGUGAUGCCUGGAGCUGGAUUCCUGCUCCCAGGCUUUGUUUUCCAUCUUUUCCCAAGCUGUUUUGUGCAGUUGCUGUUGAUUACAGAUCAUCAAAAUGGAAAAAAAAACACCUUCCAGUGGGGGGUGUGAGUGCUGGGAUCAGAUCCUAACGUUCACGGUUGUGUCAUUUCUUGUUGGUUCAAAAGGAGCUGGGGGUGCUGGGAGAGCACAGAUGGACCGUGAAUCAAUCAACCAUGCAUCUUGGCAGUGAUGAAGAUCUACUCCAUCACGGGUGGAAUUGGCCGGACCACAGCCAGCAGGUCCAGGGAGGGGACUCAUCCCAGAUGUGACACCGGGACACCAGUUCUGGCUCCUGCAUCCUAUCUGGGGCUCCCAGUUGAAGGGAAGUAUCUGCAAACUGUAAGGAGCGGAGGAGAGGUUCAUUCAUCCCUUGGUGAAGCCCCAAGUGAUGCAUCCUGUUUAUCAAACCCAUUUUGAGUGAGAAUUCUUUACUCUCAGUGCUUUCAUGGAGCGACAGCCAUACCUGGAUUUCAUCUUACACCCAUGGGAGUUUAUGAAAACUCCUCUAAGGGAGAGCGAAUGCCAUUCUCCGGUGAAACAGACCACCGAGACCAUGAGCCGAGCAGGACAUCCAACAGCCCAGGAUUUGGUGAGCUAUAGGUAAUGUCACCAUGUGGUCGCCACAGUUUCGUACGUGCAUUGUACAUGCUACUCAGAGGCAUAAAUAUCUCCAGGGUGGCUGUCAAGAGGAUGGACCAGACUCUGUUCAGUGGUGCCCAAUGACAGGGUGAGGGGCAACAGGGACAGACUGGAACACAGGAGGGUCCAUCUGAACAUGAGGAGAAACUUCUUUGCUGGGAGGUGCCAGAGCCUGGCCCAGGCUGCCCAGAGCGGGUGUGGAGGCUCCUUCUCUGAGACAUUCAAACCCGCCUGGACGUGACCCUGUGUGAUCUGCUCUGUGACCCUGCGUUAGCACGUGGGUUGGACUGGGUGAUCUCCAGAGGUCUCUUCAACCCCAACCACUCUGUGAUGCACUCUGUGAUUCAGGGAAGCUGUUCCUUCUGCUGUGAAACAAGGAGGCUCUUCUCUUAACCAUCAGCUCAGGAUGUUCAGCAAUAACAAACACUGAGUCCUGGCUGGGACAGAGCAGCCCCAAGCAUGGACACGGGCUGGGACCAACAGGACAGCAGGUCUGGCCCUAAGAAACAGCCUUUCCCAUGUGACUGGGACAUCCCUGGGAUGGGACCCCAGGUAGCAGGGGAUCCCCAUCCACAGGGGUGCCCCGUUUCACCUGGAUAUGGUCCCACUGAGCCUGCUGUAGCUGUGGCAUUGGCCAUGCUGGGAGCAGGGUUGGGCUGGAGACCCCCACUCUGGUGCCUCCAGCUGGAAUCUUUCUACACCUCUGUGAUUACCCACGAGAAUUCAAAUAUAAGUGGCUUCUUCUUCUUCUCUUCUAUGUUGAUACUCCACAGCUUAUCCUUGUAAGCGGCUCAGCUCCUGGGAACUAGUUAGCACCAAGGUACUCAACACUAAUGAGUUCGUCUCCAAAAUAACCACACUGGUCCUAUUGCCCGCAGUCACAAGCUUUAGAUAUCUACCUAUUAUUCUCUAAUUGUUCAUCUCCCCCACACCUGUGGGUUUGGAAGCAUAUCAUCAGCCAGCCCGGCCACCAAGACUGUAACACCCCCAGAGAUAUCCUUUGGAAACAUUGCUGAGGGAUGCUGAACAACUCUCCUGUUGGCUUCUUACCCUUCAAAGCUGAACAGGUACACAGGGAAAUGUCAUACUGCCACAAGAAAAACAGUUACUUAAAUAACUGCAGGAGAAAAUGUAUUUCUUUGGAGUUCAGGGGGAAUCAUUAGGACCUCCAAGGAGCUAAAUGGAGCCUGUCCCAGUCUAUAACCUGAGCAGCCUGCACGUCUUCAAAAUGACACCGGAACAGAGAAGAAUGCUGAAAUCACCCAGCUGUUUCACCAACUUCCUCUUUUCAAAGAAGGUCGAAAUGAUUCAAAAUCAUCUUUACGACACAGGCAUCCCCAUACAGCAUUUUGGAUCUCCACCAGCUGCCAACCAUCCUAAAAAGGUAUAUCAGUGCUGUAGCAACUUGGUUCCUGGCUGCCUGGGUGUCGGAGCAUCGUGGUGGGCAACGAGUGCCGGCAGAGACAUCGCCCCGCGCCAGCAGCAUCUCCUCUCCCUGCCGGGAAAGCGGCUGGACUGCAGCCAGGCAAACCUCGGCGGGUUUCCAACUCGGCUGAGGUUUCUAGUCUGUCCCCAGCCGCGACCUAGAUAGAGGAGUAGUGUAAGAGCCUUUUUUUUCCUACCCCUUCGCCCAGAUUGCGCUGUUUCAUUCCGCACUUCCCUAUGGGGUGGGCGGCUCAGCGGCUGCUGCUUUGAAUGCAUUUGCAUGCAGUGCUCUAAAUGCCGUGUGUCUCUGUCUCUCUCCUCCUCCUCCAAGGAGUAAUUUCCAGUAAUAUCUCACCCCAGGUGCUGGUUUCAUGCCGAGCAGUGAGCACAAGCCAUGGGGCUGGGGGAGGGAUGGGAAUAGAGCAUCUUGCCAGGCUGAUGCAUUUACAGCAAGAGCAAUAUCGCUCUUCAGUUUCUGCCUCAUCAGAUAAAACCAGGCAAGCUCUUCUGGGCUCUUCUCGUAAGGCAUCCUGCAAAUUUUUUAGGCUCUAGACCAGCAUGUCUAGACAUUGGCGUGCUCAAAGAUAUGCUCCAGCAAUUCACUAGGAACAUGGGAGCAAGAGCAUUCAAGGUUGUGCAAGGUGUUAAUCACAGCCACCGCAAAAUAUGAUGUUGGAGAAUUCCACGCAUUUUUUGAAAACCAUGCUCUCGGGGUGUGCGUUAGCAACAAUCUGACCUUAAUCUGUGCCCAGUGCUUCCACACGCUGCUGCUUUCAAAAAAUGCAGCAUCCCCAUCCCCGGGGGUGCUCUGACUUGGACACAUGAGCAGACGACCCAACACACCACCCAGAUCUGGUUUUGUAGUGUUGCUUUUAGAAAUCUGGUCCCUCCUACUAAUUACCAACCUCAAGUCAUCCACAGCUAAUUUAUAAGCAAUUUAUAAACCAACUUUUUACAAUACUGCUUUACCUUCCUGUGACUCUUUGCUAGAGAGCUUUUUUCCUCCAUCCAUUGGGUUUCGGGGGGCAUAGAAACUGAAAUCACACCUCUGUUUUUUAAGAGGCAUAAGCCCCAACACAGUGAAUCUCAAGCACAUUAAAAGAGGCUUUCUAGUCCUCAGCUUUCCAAGCACGUCUUUUCCCACUUCUCUCCUACCUCCCUUGGCCUGAGGACAUUGAAACACCUUUUUGCACAGGCCACUUUCCUACCUUUACCACCCAAGGGCUCAUAUCCAUUAGUGCAUCUGUUUCCAGGAUGCAAGCCACAGUGGGAUGUUUUAUUUCCCAAACUGGUGGGAUUUCAGCCCUUUUGCCUUAUUCCAGGCAUCAGUUUAACCCUUGCAGCUGUGCUGGGCUGUUCUUUUUUAAUCAUUAAGGGUAAAGGAGCAGAGUUGCUGUCACAGAACCUGGGGAAACAUGAUUAUUUCUCACCUUCUUUGUUCCCUGGGCCAUUAAUCAAUUAGCAAAUCCACCAUCACAGGGGGAAAACCCCCCUUUCAUGGCUGCUGAUGGAAAGUGUGAACAACUGCAGCAAAUUAAGGCAGUAUUUUUAGCACUAUUUCAAACACAAAUGCAAAGAGGCAAACAAAUGAAAAACCCAACCACACUUAAUAGAAAGAAUUGUUCUGGGAGUUGGAAUUCAGUCAUUUUCAGGGGUUUGGCCUUCAGAUGGCUUGCUGUCAAUAAUGACCAUUAUGAAAAAAACCUUUUAUUUAGGUGUUUAUAUUGAAAUUAGGACCUUCAAGAAAGCAAACUGUCCAGGUGUGUUUUUUAUUUCAUUCUCAUUUUUGACCAAAUUUUUAACAGUAGUACCAUGGUCACAGAGUCAAGAACCCAGUGCCAUUAUAAAAGGAAAAUGUUGUUUUUAUCUUCAAUCUGAGCAUCACUUCAUUAGAUUUUCCUCUGUCUGUUGAACACUGUCACUUGUUUUAGGUUUCUAUUAAAGCUCUAAAAGGCACUUCUGUGUUUAGCAAACCCCACAUUGACAAGAAGCAAACUUUCUACAACACUGCUUCACCUUCCUGUGACUAUUUCUACAUGUGGUUUACUGGCCAGCUACUGCAAGCUGUUCCUACGGCUUUGCUCUGCUCAGCCAGAAGUGAGAUGGAUCCAGAAGGUUUUACCCAAAAAACAUGGAUUUUAUUUCACUUUGGGGUUCUUUUCUUGGAAAAUGGGGAAUUGUUUUCCCCAUUUAAAGGAUGUCUCCCAUGCCGGGGUUUUUGUAGAGAGGAGGAAAGGUGUAUCAAAAAUAGCGUGGUCAGCAGGACAAGGGCAGUGAUCCUUCCCCUGUACUCUGCAUUGGGGAGGCCACACCUGGAGUAUUGUGUUCAGUUCUGGGCCCUCAGCUCAGGAAAGAGAUUGAAGUGCUGGAGCGGGCCCAGAGAAGAGCAACAAGACUGGGGAAGGGACUUGAA